GACGAACGCUGGCGGCGUGCUUAACACAUGCAAGUCGAACGAAGAGCGAUGGAAGCUUGCUUCUAUCAAUCUUAGUGGCGAACGGGUGAGUAACGCGCAAUCAACCUGCCCUUCAGAGGGGGACAACAGUUGGAAACGACUGCUAAUACCGCAUACGAUCUGACCUCGGCAUCGAGGAUGGAUGAAGGGUGGCCUCUAUUUAUAAGCUAUCACUGAAGGAGGGGAUUGCGUCUGAUUAGCUAGUUGGAGGGGUAACGGCCCACCAAGGCGAUGAUCAGUAGCCGGUCUGAGAGGAUGAACGGCCACAUUGGGACUGAGACACGGCCCAGACUCCUACGGGAGGCAGCAGUGGGGAAUCUUCCGCAAUGGACGAAAGUCUGACGGAGCAACGCCGCGUGAGUGAUGACGGCCUUCGGGUUGUAAAGCUCUGUUAAUCGGGACGAAAGGCCUUCUUGCGAAUAGUUAGAAGGAU
rnacentral:rRNA from 1 species